rnacentral:rRNA from 1 species
GAGUUUGAUCGUGGCUCAGAUUGAACGCUGGCGGCAUGCCUUACACAUGCAAGUCGAACGGUAACAGGUCUUCGGAUGCUGACGAGUGGCGAACGGGUGAGUAAUACAUCGGAACGUGCCCGAUCGUGGGGGAUAACGAAGCGAAAGCUUUGCUAAUACCGCAUACGAUCUACGGAUGAAAGCAGGGGACCGCAAGGCCUUGCGCGAACGGAGCAGCCGAUGGCAGAUUAGGUAGUUGGUGGGAUAAAAGCUUACCAAGCCGACGAUCUGUAGCUGGUCUGAGAGGACGACCAGCCACACUGGGACUGAGACACGGCCCAGACUCCUACGGGAGGCAGCAGUGGGAAUUUUGGACAAUGGGCGAAAGCCUGAUCCAGCCAUGCCGCGUGCAGGAUGAAGGCCUUC